CCCAGCGACCCCAUGGACUGCAGCCCACCAGGCUCCUCUGUCCAUGGGAUUUUCCAGGCAAGAGUACGGGAGUGGGGUGCCAUUGCCUUCUCCAUCUCUCUAUUCCAGUAGUUCCCAAACUUUGCUCGUUCAUCAUGUUCACCUUCUUUGAACAUGCUUUAUUUGCUGAUAUUUUUCUUUAAAUUGAUUCAUUUAAAAUCAAAUGCACUGAUUUAAAAAAAGAGAAUGCAUUCUUAUUGGCUAAUGAAAAACUAUUUUCACUUUCCAUAAACAGAAGUUUAAAAAAUAAAAGCCUAAAUAUCUGAAGAAGUUUGUCCAUAUACCGUGUCAAAUCAUUUGGUGUUCCCCAGUAGGUAGGUGUUGGUAAAGAAUCUGCCCACAAGGCAGGAGACACAGAUUCAAUGCCUGGGUCAGGAAGAUCCUCUGGAGAAGGGAAUGGCAACCCACUCCAGUAUUCUUGCCUGAAGAAUCCUAUGGACAGAGAAGCCUGGCGAGCUACAGUCCUUGGGGUUGAAAAGAGUCGGACAUGACUGAGCAACUAAUGCUUCACUUCACUUCAGAUGUUGAGGUAGGUGUAUCCCAGUUGGGGAUUUUCUUUGGAUCUGAGUUUUUUUGUUUUUUUUUUUGAAGCUUUACAAAUCUUUAACAUUUUUAUUUAUUUUAUUUUGGAGUAUAGUUGAUUAAUAAGCUUCAAGAUCCUACUUGCUACAAUGAAGAUGGAAGACCCGCAUGCUGCAACUAAGUCUCGGCUCAGUCAAAAAAAACCCCAGAGCUCUCACAUGCUUCCUGUUCCCAGAGGGGUGACGCUGCCUUCCUCAACAUGGCCACGAGGCCUCCAGGCCCACUUAAUUCUGACAGACUUGAAUUCGAGCACAACGCGAGGCCUUCCUUGGUCAGGACCUCCCCUCACGUUCUGGGACCCUUGGAUUUCACGAGUGGAUGGCACGAGACAAAACGGCUCCUCUUCUCACUCUCUCCUCCCUUGCCCUCUGCAGACUGGGUGUCCUGCUUGACUUUCAAAACACUGCAAAGUUUGCUUUAACCAUUUUACAAUCUAGGAGGCUGGUCUACACCACCUCUAGCCCUUCCUGCCAACAUCCAGGAGUAGACCUCCACCUUCAUCUCACCCCUGGAGUUUCUCUCAAGCCAUAGAAGGACCCAGGGUGAGGGGCACUUGAGCCAGCCUCACACUGCACCUUGCGACCUGGGGACCCAGCUAAGCCAAGUGCAGC
rnacentral:lncRNA from 1 species